rnacentral:rRNA from 1 species
ACGCUGGAACUGAGACACGGUCCAGACUCCUACGGGAGGCAGCAGUGGGGAAUAUUGGACAAUGGGCGAAAGCCUGAUCCAGCCAUGCCGCGUGUGUGAAGAAGGUCUUCGGAUUGUAAAGCACUGUUAAGUUGGGAGGAAGAGGUACUUGCCUAAUAGCGUGAGUAUUGUGACGUUACCGACAGAAUAAGCACCGGCU